GCGUUGGCUGAGUUUAUCUCAACUCUUAUUUUUGUCUUCGCCGGAGAAGGUUCCGGUAUGGCCUUUAACAAGCUCACCAACAACGGCGCAGCCACUCCUUCUGGUCUCGUGGCCGCCGCUAUAGCUCACGCAUUCGCUCUUUUUGUUGCUGUCUCCGUUGGUGCAAACAUCUCAGGUGGACAUGUCAAUCCUGCUGUCACCUUUGGUGCUUUCGUCGGCGGUAACAUCACUCUUCUACGUGGUAUUCUUUACUGGAUCGCUCAGCUUCUCGGCUCCACCGUCGCUUGCUUGCUUCUCAAGUUCAGUACCGGCGGUUUGGUAAGUAACUAAACCUAUCAUGUCAUCGCCAUAACUGGAACACGCUAAAUAUUUACGAGUUCUGUUAAUUAUUUGAAACUGAUCGUGAAUUUUGAUAUGGUGUUGCACAACGCAGACUACCUCAGCUUUCGCUCUAUCCUCUGGAGUUGGUGUAUGGAACGCAUUUGUUUUCGAAAUCGUGAUGACCUUUGGACUUGUGUAUACCGUAUAUGCAACUGCCGUUGAUCCAAAGAAGGGAAGUUUGGGAACAAUUGCACCGAUCGCUAUCGGUUUUAUCGUUGGUGCUAACAUUUUGGCGGGAGGAGCAUUCGACGGUGCAUCAAUGAACCCCGCAGUGUCGUUCGGACCAGCUUUGGUCAGCUGGAGCUGGGAAAAUCACUGGGUGUACUGGGCUGGGCCUUUAGUUGGCGGUGGGCUUGCUGGGCUUGUUUAUGAGUUCUUCUUCAUCCACAGCACCCAUGAGCAGCUCCCUACCACUGACUACUAAAAGAUAACGGUGGUUGCGAGUGGAUGGCAUGAAGGUGGUGGCGGUGGCCACGCGGCUUUUCUUUCUCUGGUGUAUUUAUUUGUAUCUCUUGAGGGUAUUUUAUUUAUCCUGUUAUUUAAUCUGUAAUCGUCGAUCUUUGGUU
rnacentral:lncRNA from 1 species